rnacentral:rRNA from 1 species
UACGUAGGGUGCGAGCGUUAAUCGGAAUUACUGGGCGUAAAGUGUGCGCAGGCGGCCGCGCAAGUCGAGUGUGAAAGCCCCGGGCUUAACUUGGGAAUUGCACUCGAAACUACGUGGCUGGAGUGUGGCAGAGGAAGGUGGAAUUCCAGGUGUAGCGGUGAAAUGCGUAGAGAUCUGGAGGAACACCGAUGGCGAAGGCAGCCUUCUGGGCCAACACUGACGCUCAUGCACGAAAGCGUGGGGAGCAAACAGG